GGUUCUUUGAUUUGCCGAAUCUAACUGUGUAUGUAGAUUCUUAAUUUUUGGUCCCGUUUUCAAAUUGGUCUACAUUAAGGUCCAAAGGGUCCAAAAUUAAACUUAGUUUGAUUUUAACAAAAAUUGAAUCCUUGGGGCUCUUUGAUAUGCUGAAUCUAAAAAUGUACUUAGAUUUUUUAUUAUUGGCCCAGUUUUCAAGUUGGUCCAAAUCGGGGUCCAAAAUUAAACUUUGUUUGAUUUCAUCAAAAAUUGAAAAAUUGGGGUUCUUUGAUAUGCCAAAUCUUACUGUGUAUGUAGAUUCUUAAUUUUUG
rnacentral:lncRNA from 1 species